rnacentral:ncRNA from 1 species
ACCUCAUCGACAACGCCAUGAGCAAAAAGCCACAGGUGGUGCAGAUCGAGGCGAGCGACAAAGCGUUCAAGACCAGCGGGUGCCAGCCCUGGCAGAACACCGGUGGCGCCCCUCCCGGAGAGGUGCCCGGACCGGUCGCAGGGGCCCAGCUGCAAAACAACCUGGGCAUCCUUAACGGGCUGCUCGCCCCCAACGGCCAGCACGUA